rnacentral:tRNA from 1 species
UCCCUAGUGGUCCAGUGGCUAAGACCCCGUGCUCCUAAUGCAGGGGGCCCAGGUUCAACCCCUGGUCAGGGAA